rnacentral:tRNA from 1 species
AGCUUUAUAGUCAAUGAAUUAUAUGAUGUUAGACUGCAAUUCUAAAGGAGUAGGAUACUACUAAGGCUU